UGAAAUGGUGCCUGGUGUACAACAUUGUGAUAUGUUACCAGCUAAACAUCACGAUAUACCAAGAUCACAACUGCCCCAGAGCCCUUGCACUGUAUUCCCAAAUUCAGGUAAGCAGCCCUCCACCUUGCUGCCACCCCAUUCUGGGGAUUUGUGGCUUUACGUACCCCCCCCCCAAAUAUGGGGAUUACAAUUUAUUUUUCCACAGAACUAGCAUGGCCCUGCCUGCAGAGAGAGCCCAAAGGAGGAGCAAGGAAGAGGGAAAGAAGUUCCUAGCAAGAACCGUAAGGCAUCUCGCACUGGCAUCUUCCUCAUAUCGUACCAGCCUGGUGCCUGGUGCUUAAAACAAGAAGCUCAUGGUAUCUAUAUUACUAAGGAAAGUUCCCAGGUAGGCUGCUUUCUUGAGUGCCUGCUCUUGUGGUUUGCUGCCCUCUGCAGGAAGCAGGGGACAGUUGAGGCAGCAGGAACCACAAGAGAAGUGAUGACCAGCUUCACAGACCAGCUCCGACACUGAUUUUUUUGACAUACCACAUGCACACAUUGUUAUGUAUAUCACCACAUGGAGUAUGAUGAUCUAAUGUUGAACUCCCCCUCUCCGCUGCCCUGGAAACUUCCACAGCCCUUGUGCUACUAGGGAUGUUGGAGAAAAUCUGUUCCGUUCACUUUUAAUGGAGAAUCUCGCUAACCCACACUUCCUGAAUCAAUACAAGAACCAAAAUGCAGCCAUCCUUUGAAAUGCACGUCUCCAGAUUUUGCAAUGCAGUUCUCCAGCCAACAAAUCACUUUUGUUCAUUUUCAUUCAUACACACACACACACACACACACACACACUGCUAUAGCAUGAAAAAUAUCAAAGUGGUUAACAAUAAUAUCUAUAUAGUAUAAAACCACAUAAAAUUAUAAGCUUUUCUGAAAGAUGUAUAAGGUUAGCUGAACAGAAUUGAUUAAGGACUGAUUUAGGAGGCACCUGUUGAAUCUCUAUUGGCAGAGUAUUCCACAGCAUCGGGUGGAUGUGUACAAAAUGUCGUGUACCACGUGUACCAAAAUGCUGAGGUAAUGUGCACAUAAAAAGGCAGAUUCAUGGGAAAAAACAUACAAAAUACAUUGUAGUGGUAAAAUUGCUUUCCAAGAUGUAUAUAUUAGGAUACAUUUGCACUAAAUGCUGAUGAAUUUUCAUGAAGUGUGUGUGUGUAUCUCACAGACUGGUGUGGAAAUGUGAAUAACUGAAUUUAAGAUUUUUUAAAAAAACAGGAGAAGCUGAGAGAAGCCAAAAUGUACAUAUUCACCCAGUUCUGGGCCCUACUGAAGUCAGAAUCCUGAUGUCAGUAGACACAAAAAGUAAGAACAUGGCUCUAAAGACUGUUCAGAAACUUCAGCUGGUGCAGGAUUCAGUGGCCAGGUUGUGGGCAGGAUGGUUUGAGCAUAUAACACCAAUUGCAAUACCUCAAGGACCGCCUCUCCCCAUAUGAUCUACCCAGACCUUUAGAUCAUCUUUUGAGGCCCUCUCCUCCAAGAGAGGUCCAGAGGGUGGCAGCAUGAGAACAGGCCUUUUCUGUAGUGGCUCCCUGCUUGUGGAAUGGCCUUCCCAGGGAGGCUCACCUCAUGCUCUCAUUACAUAUUCUACAGGAAAUUACUGCAGGAGAUUGUAGGAUAUGGUGACUUCAAGCUGCUGCAAACACCCUUUGGAUCAUCACUGCUCCAACUGCCCAACACCAGGUCACAUAGGAAGCUGCCUUAAGGUUAGUCAGACUCCUGGCCCAUCCAGGUCAGUACUGUCUACACUGAUUGGAAGUGUCUGUCCAGGGUUUCAGAGGAGUCUUAACCAGCUCCAUCUGGAGAUGCCAGGGACUCAACUUGUGACAUUCUACCAUGUUCUCUACCACUGAGCUACCACCUUUCUUCAACCAGGAGGUACACAUAUGCUUUACAUAUUCAGACUGUUGGGCCAUCUAGCUCCAUAUCAUCUACACCAGGAAUAGGAAACUUGUGGCCUUCUGUAUGUCGUCAGACUACAUCACCCCUGACCACUGGACAUUCUGCCUGGGGCUGGUGGGAAUUCAACUGUAACAAGUUUUGGAGGCGCACAAGGUCCGCAUCCCUGGUAUCCACUGACUACUGGAAGCUCUCCAGGGUUUUAGACAUGGGAGAUGCUGGGGGUUGAACUUGAGACCUUCUAUCUGCAAAGCAUUUGCUCAACCACUAAGCCAUUGAUCAUAAAACACUAGACCGAGAAUCCCCCUUAAUCCUGGAAUUGACUCUGCCAGGCUACUCUCUACUUCAAACAUAAGCAGCAAACCAGUGCACAAAGAAGGACAUGUCACUUGGCUCUCAUUUUAGCACCAUCUUCACCAACCUAGUGACUUUCAGCUCUUUUGGAUUCCAACUCCCAAUAGCCCCAGGCAGCUUGUGGCUGGUUGGUGAAGCUUGGCCUAGCACCUCAAGCAUCAGAAAGCUCUUAAGAUCUACAUAGGGGUGUAGGGGCAUUCCGUCCAGAACCUGAAAUUGCCUCUGUUGCGAGCCCAGAUUACUUCUCUUAGGCUCUUUGACUGUAAGCCUGGGUCACCCUGAUGCUGUGGGUGUUUUCCCAUAUUGCAACAGGAAACCAACAGAAAUGGUGCAAUGUGGUGGUUAUUGCUAAGAACUUGAGAUCAGAAGUCCCAUGCCAUAGUUCAAAUCUUGCCAUAGCCAUGCAUUCGAUAGGCCUAUGACAGUUUCACCGCCAGAGUAGUAAUAAUGCUCCCUCUGUUUAAGUGUUUUCAUCUAUGCGGUCAAAAGCAGCCCAAUAAGAGUGAGGAAUCAGCCAACUAGGGGAAGCCCUGAAGUUUGCAUAAGUGCAAAAAAUAUGUUUGGGGGUGGGCCUAAAGGGAAGAAAACCCCUGAAACAGUCCAACAAGGACUGAACAUGAUGAGUAGCCACAUAAUAUUGGCUUCUUUUAUUUUUUAAGUGGGGUGGGGAGAGAGGAGAAAAACUGGGAGGAGGAAUUGAAUGGAGUGUCUGGAACAGGAGAACUCAUCCAAUACAGCAAUAUUUUGAUUAUAAUGGCUAGUUGUGAGAGGCAUAUAUUAGUUCUUAUGCAUGCGAAGGGAAUACAGUACAGUGGUACCUUGGGUUACAUAUGCUUCAGGUUACAUACGCUUCAGGUUACAGACUCCGCUAACCCAGAAAGAGUACCUCGGGUUAAGAACUUUGCUUCAGGAUGAGAACAGAAAUCGUGCAGCGGCGGCGCAGCAGCAAGAGGCCCCAUUAGCUAAAGUGGUGCUUCAGGUUAAGAACAGUUUCAGGUUAAGACAGACAUCCAGAACGAAUUCAGUUCUUAACCCGAGGUACCACUGUACAGAUAAUGAAAGCUCUUUUAUCAAUGUUCUCCACCCUGUUCUUUUCCCACUUGUAUCUUUUUGAUACAGAUGUGGAAUUAUUAUUAUUAAAAUAAUUUGUUUUCAAGACUGAAAAGUGACUUGAGAAGUGAGGAAAAUCCUCACCUUUACAGGAAAAUCAUAUAAUGAUAAAUAUUGCUUCUUUUGCAAUUGGAGAACUGUGUAGCUGAAGAAAAAGGAGAAGAGUCUGACUGAGAUUACCAAUUGUGCAACAUAGUAAAAAGGAAAGGGGGGGGCAAAUCCCCCAACAUAUACACCUAUGUAAUUACUGUAUUCUGCUAACCAAACACUGUGGAGAAUUGAAAAAGCACUGAAUCGCAAGACAUUCCAUCAAUAGCUUUUAAAGUUUCCAUGACAAAUCCUGCCCUAUAGAAAUAAGCCAAAUGACUGUGAGCUAAGGGCCAUUUCAAAGGCAAAGUUCCUCUCAUAAGCCACACACUGCCCACUGGCAAGAAGCUUUCUGCUGUUUCAGACAGGUGACAUUCCUAGUCUUACCGGGAGAUACAGGGGAUGGAACCUGGGACCUCCUGGUUAUGAAUCAGAUGCUCUGCCACUGAACCUGUAGAUCUUCCCUGGGCCUAAUGAACUGCAGUGAAGGGGUGUUGGGCAUUUGGUUCUGGGAUAACUAACUCAAUGGUAGUGCCUAUGCUCUCCUCCCAUAUGCAUGUCUCAGGCCAGGUCAUCCUUGCAUAGGGAUGGGUGGGAAAUUGGAUUCAGUCUGCAUUUAAAGGCGAACCUACCAAAUCCACUCUUCCUGACAAACCAGAACACAACCAUAUUUCUAAAUGCAUACUACCUCAAAUUUUUCAGUAGAGUACCACAAGUAACACGUAAAACAAUGCAUUUAUAAAGUCUGCAUCAAAGUGCAUACAUUAGUGAAAACAGCAUGCAAAAAUGCAUUAUAAUGGGAGAAGUUGCUUUGCAAUAAUUUACAUUAGCAAGAUUUGCAAGGGUCUCUCCCAGCCCAACCUGGAGAUGCCGGGGACCGAACCUGGGACCUUCUGCAUGCAAGGCAGAUGCUCUGCCACCAGUCAGCUUCUGUAUAUGGAGCAUGUGUGUGUUUGUGAUACUAUUUCAUCCUUCACACAAGACAUUAAAAAUAAUGGUCUCAGGUUCCAACCUCAGGUUCCAACCCCAGAACCUCUAGCUAAAAAAUCUGAGGUGCCAGGGCUGUGAAAGAUAGAUGACAGUUGAAGUAGGCUAUUCUGGAAUAGACAGCUGGGUUUACUGCACAACAGCUUCUUCCACCUGUCAUGAGCCCAGUGGUGUUAUUGCACCAGAGACCAAUUUGGCCAAAGAAUCAAGUGUCUAGGAAAAUACUUCCCAAAGAAAUCCAAUACAGAAUCCCUCUCUCAAUUGCCAAAAAAACCCUACUAUUGUUGCAAUUUAAAAACAUAUAUAUGGGGUGUGGGGAAAGCCAACCAAUACUUCUACUAAAUUCAUAAGGAAAUGAAGAAAUACUGCAAGAAACUGGAUUUCGGCUGAACCAAGCAAAAGAAACCCAAAACACCACAUGUUUUACCUUGGCUUUCAGGGGUGUCACUGGAGACCUUUCUUUCUCCCUCUCAAUUGCCUUUGGCACUGACGCCACCCUCAGGGGCUCCAUUUUCCAGCAACCCUUUUGUUUCUGCCACAAGUGGGCAAGAUGAACCAGCUUGCUCCUUCUUCUCUCAUCAAUCUGUUGGUCCUGUGCAUUGUUGGCCCCGAGGAAUAGCUAUGCUGGAGAGCAAUUGCGGACGGCCCUGUCCAAUCUCCUGGCCCUCGUGCGGCUGAGCAGAGAUUUACCUGUCAAACACCUCCACCCCACCCCACCCCACCCCACCUUCUUUAUCCUUGGGCUUCUCUUGAUUUCCCAAUGGCCUCUUGCUUGGUGGCUCUAGCAGUGCAGUGUCUCACCUUUCACCCGGAGUAAAAGGACAACUCCUUGGUCGGUUUGUUUUAGUUAGGGCUAAAAACUGCCUGGAAUGUAGUGAGGCAGAGGAAUAAGGUUGCUGUCCUGCCAUAGGCAACUUUUUGCUCUAUCUCACUCCUUGUUGUCCACACCAGGGAAAGUACCUUGAUGACGAGGGUGCCUGUUGAUGAGGGAAGCAGCUGAAAUGGCACAAGCAAAAUUUUUUCCCUGCAAACUAGUCAUCGGUUGAUUUCCCUCCACAAAGGAGGAAAAAUAUGUCUACAAGAGUCAGUGGUUGCUUAGUGGGGGAAAAUUAGUCCUUGUUAAAUUCAGCAUCAUUUUAAUGCAAAUUUUUCAUAAUAUGCAUAUGCUUGUAUGCACUUUGUCUAAUAUACACAUUUUGGAAAGCUGUGUAACUUCAUAUAAUCCAUUUGUGUAUAUUGUUUUCAUGGGUACAUUCAUUUUUAUGCUCACUCUCCCCCAAAAUGUGCAUAAUGGAGUACUGAAUUGCUAAAAAGAAAGAAAGAAAGAAAGAAAGAAAGAAAGGAAGGAAGGAAGGAAGGAAGGAAGGAAGGAAGGAAGGAAGGAAGGUGUGAAUUGUGAACAAUGUCUGUUUUCUUGUUUCAUGUAUUGUUUUGGAAAGUGAAGAUUAGGUAUAGAUUCAUCUUUAAAUGCAAACUAAAUUGAGUUUCUCCCUCAUCCCUAUGGGAGAGACAGUGUGGACAGACAACUGGAUUCAGAUAUGGAAGAUGUGAAUUCACUGGGGUUUCCCCAAAGAUAAUGCUGUUCCCUAGUCUCCAUUUGUAAAAAAGGGGAAAUGGUGGUUUACAAGUUUGGCAGGAGAACAAAACUAUGAAGCAGAUAUUGAGAACUUGUGGUCUAUCAUAUGUUUGUUUGUUUGUUUAUAAAGGCAUUAUAAAGGGUGGCCCCAAAGUAGGUAUACAGUUGAAUAAAUGAAAUUCAUCACAACAGGUUAUAUGGGUACACAUUAGUGGCACACAACAAAGUGGCAGUUAAAUUUCAGGUUGGUAGUUGGAAAGAACAGUGGAGUCAGAUAAAAGGAUUAUUUUUCUUUACUGAUACUGUGACUGAUGACAGUGAACAUGAGUCAAGAACAAAGAAAGUGGAUUCUAAAGCAGUAUACCUACCUAGGGGCCACCCUGUAUGCUACCAUAUGAUGAAUCAGGACAGUGUACAAUGAUAAAACACAAUGAAAAGCAGUACAAAACGAUGGUUAAAAUGACUGGCUACUUGUUGGUCUUCAUCUCCCAUCAGCCUCACCCAGCAUGACUGAUAGCCAAGGAAGACUGGAGCUGGAGCUCAGCAACAUCUGGAGUGCCCACAGGUCCCCACCUCUGCUGCAAAGCAUUCAGUGGUGCUGUCAGAACAAGGCUUUGGGGCAAAUGUCCAAGGCCCCACUCAGCAAUUUUGCAGUAAGUGAAGUAACACAAACUGCCAUCCAAGGACCUUUCUAAUCCAGAAAAGACCGCUGUUUUAUUGCAGGAGAAUUCUGCAACAUAUGGUUGACAUAAUAUUAGUGCACGGGUGGUGAAUUUAUUCUGUUUUUUUCUUGGUUCUGCAAUGUUUCCCUAUUGUUAACACAUUAUUGCUGCCUGUCCAGGGGGGCUACGGCAAAACAAAAGCAGGACAUAAAUAAACCAGUUAUGGAUUUUGGCAGGAAGUUACAGGAUAUGCAAUGACUGGAUGUCAGAUGUGCAGCAGGUAAGGGCAGGGCUUCAAAAGAACAACCAGCCACUUAGAGUGGGCUGCUGAUUGCUCCUUUGCUGGCAAAAGGUGUGCUCCCACUGGGCCAUAGGAGCAUGCCUUGCUCAAGAAGUGGAAAGAAGUUUAGAAUCAAUAUAAACUGCUUCUCCUUCUUAGACUGCUCUUUGAAACCACAGUGUGCUGCUCAUUUCAACCUCCAGUUUUUGAGGCUUGCAAAGGGCUUUGUGAGCCAUUUCCCGCUGCUCCUUUCAACCCCUGAAAUUAGGCUGACAAAGCCCCUUGCACUGUGGUUUCCGAGUUUGGGGAUCCCACGCAAGGGAUUUUAACAGGGUGCGGAGGACAACCCAGCUGUCAACCCUGUGAUAUCAUAAUGACACAAUAUGACUGAGAAAUAGGUUGCCUCACCUGACUGUCAAAGCUGGCACCCAGAGUAAAAAUCCCCAAACUGAUUUAUGGUCUCUGCAUUUGCUAGCAUAAUCCUCUGUGUCUUAGAAUAAUAGAAUUGUAGAGUUGGAAGGGACACCUAGUCCAGCCCCCCACAAUACAGGAAUAAAUUGUAUAUCCCAGUGAUAUUCUGAAUAUGCAAUAUAUUAGUGUUUUGAUGUAUUUUGUUAUCACUUUGUUGUUUUAUUGCUUUGUGUGGUCCCAAUUUUUAAAAAUGUAAGAAAGAGAACAGAAAAGAAUUGCAGCCAAUUUUUAUUUUAAUUAGGACAGCCUUGUUGUUAUUUUACAAUCUUUUGUAAAUUUACAAAAUUGAACGUACCCAUUUCAUUAUAGGACCGCCCUAUUGCAGAUCACCAUGC